rnacentral:rRNA from 1 species
GACAGAGGGUGCAAACGUUGCUCGGAAUUACUGGGCGUAAAGCGCGUGUAGGCGGACGUGUAAGUCAGGUGUGAAAUCCCCGGGCUCAACCCGGGAACUGCACUUGAAACUGCGCGUCUUGAGUACUGGAGAGGGUAGUGGAAUUCCUGGUGUAGAGGUGAAAUUCGUAGAUAUCAGGAGGAACACCGGUGGCGAAGGCGGCUACCUGGACAGUCACUGACGCUGAGGAGCGAAAGUGUGGGGAGCGAACAGG